UCGGUCUCCCAGAGUGCUGGGAUUACAGGCGUGAGCCACCGCGCCCGGCCCACAAUGAGAUGAAUUCUGCAAACAACCUGAGGUGGCCUAGAAGUGGAUCAACCUUCCAGUCCCCAACUCCACCCUGGGUUGAGCCUCGAAUGAGGAUGUGCCCCUGACCAACAGCUGCAUUGCAGCCUGUGAGACCCAGGUAAGCCCUGCCUGGUCACGUAAUUCACAGGAACUGUGAGAUAAUAAAUGGAUGUUUUCAGCUGCUAAUUUUGUGGUAAAUAUUACAGGGGAGUAGGAAACUAAUACAGCUGCCAAAUCACAUAUGGAGCCAAAUUGCCAGCAAACGGAUUCUUUCUUCAUUGAUAUUCUCAUUUUCUUUUAUUUUAACGACUGAGUUUUUGGAUGUUAAGGAGGGUAUUUCCGAAGAGGCCAGUGUGGCUCACAGAUGGAUCGUUUUCCAGCCAUUGAAAGCUACCUUGGGGGAAGGAAACUACUUAGCCUCCUGUGUGGGGGCAUCUGUGGCUGAAUACACCAUCACUGUGGGUGACAUGGAAAAGAUACAUGAGACUCAAAGAAGGACUAGAAAAGGGAAAUAUAAAUAAUCCAGGUUACAUUUUAAAAGAGGCAUAACUUUAUAAUGAAGAAAAGUUUCCACUAAAUAAGGACAAAAGCUGCUUUGAUCAAAUUCUAUAAAAUCAUGGGAUUAGCACUUAAGAUUAUGAAGCCUAAAACCAAGGCCUUCCUGGCAUUUAAUUCCAGAUCUGCUACCUAUUAGAAUUUAAAAUUUGGGACCUGUUCUCUAAGAAUCCUAUCUUCAAUCUCUAGAAUGUUCUUGUUCAGCUUUUUCACUCCAUCUGGGCAAAUAGGACCAAGACUUCUCCCCUUCUCCAUUAUUAGACAUGUAUUUUCAACCUAAAAUCCCCUCUCCAGUCAUUUCUAUCCAAACAAAUUAUACUGGAUCCUCAAAAUUUUACAUCAGAAUCACUUCCAUGUGAUCUUUUUGGAACAGAUUUUUAUGACUCUAGUUCCUCUAAAAGUUUCUUUACUAUAGAAUAGCUGUAGUAUAACUGUAGUUUAUUCUUCAUAAAGGUUGGCCAUGCAGACAGACAGCAUAAGAGAGAACAGGGGAGACCCCAAUAAGCCCACUGUUCUCUGGCCUACAUUGCCACCCUUCAUUUCUAGGAUACAUCUAUUUUUCAACAAAAUUGGAAAAGUAAAAAUAAAUUAUAUCCAACAUAUUUAUCGAACAUCUAUUUGAAUGCUUGUUGUUCUUUCAGGUACUAUGGUAGAUUUUUUUUUUUUCAAAGAUUUGUUUUGGUUUCUGCUCUUAAGGAGAUAUCUAUUAUUUGAUAUUUCAUUCAAAACAAGAAUCAGAAUGUUAAAACCAAGAUUGCUUCAUACUCCUACUAUACACUCUCUUUUACACACACACACACACACACACACUGCUAAUUGUUAACACAAUAGUUCUCAUCAGAUUAUGAAAUAUAAUCAUGUUUGACAAACACACGUUUAUGAAUAAUUUACUAUAACUAUUUCAGGCCCUCAAAGUAACACUCUUCUUACUGUGUUUUUGAGAGCACUCAGUCUGCUAAUUAUGUUGCAUGGAAAAGUCCCCAUCAUAUCUCCUAUUAUGGAUUUUAUGGUUCAUUUUACUGACAUAUUUUUUCCUCUUUAUUAUCGAAGACUUAGCUGCUUUUCUUUCUCUAAUACUUUACUACUAAGACAGGAAAUCAAGUUGAUAAUGUCCUAUGGAUCAUAACAACUUCAUUUAUUUGCACUAGCAAAAGAUCUGUGGUAACAGCAAGGGCCAACAGAGCACAUGUCAGAUGUGCUGACUGGUCCCAAGACAGCAGGCAACAUGAAACAAAAAAGAGAAGUUCAAGACCUCACUGACGACAACAAGCUGCAGCAACAGCUUCCCAGCUGAGUGACACCAAGCCCAUAAUGGAAACGUUACUCGUUUAGGGUCUCACCCUUGGAAGGUGCAGUGGAAAUGAAAAUUACAUUGAAAGCAGCUUUCCUUUUAUCAUGAUGAUAGACCCAAGACUAUAUGCAGCCUAAGAACGUGAAAGAACCCAUGAAUGGUGGUGAGCUCCACAGCUUACAGAAGUCCUAGUGGUGUUUAGCAGGAUGUUUUCCUAAAUCUUGAACAUGGCUUUGAGGAAUUCACAGUCUGACCUCCACUCACUUCUUCAAGCUCAUCUUUACAUCCCACCUCCUUAGCCACUCACACAUCAUUCUUCAUCCAGAUUUAUACACUUGUGGACCCUAAAAGUACCAUUUUCUCUCUAGCCCCUAUGUCUUUUUACUCAAGUAAACCUGAGUUUAAAAUGUCUUCACCCUCUCAUACCCCAUGCACUUCCAACUGCCUUUAGGUAACUCCCAUGCGACCUUCAGCUCUCAGCUCGAAUCUCAGUGCUACCAUCUUUUAAUUUAGGUUCCCUUCCUGUGCAGUUUCCUAGCACCCCUUAUGCUCACCCCCAUACCACUCUAUAGUGAUGGUAGAAAGCAGAGUUCAAAAAUGUGUCCAAGUACCACAGGUAUCAGAAUCAUCUCGAAAGCCUGUUAAAACUCAGAUUUCUAGGUUCCAUCUUGGUCUUACUGAAUUGAAAUCUCUGGUAAUGGGGCUGAGAGAUGUGUACUUUAAAUAAUUUUCCCAGCUAAUACCUAUGUAUUCUAACUUCAGAAACACUAGAGUGGGAAAUAUAUUCUUAGGAAGGAUAAAAACACAGAUUGAGGCUACUUUUCCUUUCUUAAAAUAUCAAUAAAAUAAGGGGUAAAGACUAAAAAAAAAUGUUUUAAAAGUGGACUAUAGACUUUACAUGGGAGUAGAACCGUCGACAUGUCUGAAGGUCACAACUCUCUAGGUGGUUUUCCUUUUCUAGUCUAAAAAAUGAAAUCAUGUCCUACACAUGUCAUUCCAUUCCUCCCUACAGGAAAUAGAGUAAUGGCUCUGCUAAAAAAGACCAGAGUUAAAGUGUGUGUGUGUAUUCAAGAGAAGUACCUUUAGAAGAGA
rnacentral:lncRNA from 1 species